UCAGUCAACAUGGAAGGGUUGUGUGUGUGUGUGUGUGUGUGUGUGUGUGUAUACACACACACACACACACACACACACACUCACAACCUUUGAGUUUC